UACGAAGGGGGCUAGCGUUGUUCGGAAUUACUGGGCGUAAAGCGCGCGCAGGCGGCCUUUCAAGUCAGUGGUGAAAGCCCGGAGCUCAACUCCGGAACUGCCAUUGAAACUGUUUGGCUUGAGUACGAGAGAGGUGAGUGGAAUUCCUGGUGUAGCGGUGGAAUGCGCAGAUAUCAGGAGGAACACCAAUAGCGAAGGCAGCUCGCUGGGACGGUACUGACGCUAAGGCGCGAAAGCGUGGGGAGCGAACAGG
rnacentral:rRNA from 1 species